UACGUAGGGUGCAAGCGUUAAUCGGAAUUACUGGGCGUAAAGGGCUCGUAGGCGGCCAACUAAGUCAGACGUGAAAUCCCCAGGCUCAACCUGGGAACUGCGUCUGAUACUGGAUGGCUUGAAUCCGGGAGAGGGAUGCAGAAUUCCAGGUGUAGCGGUGAAAUGCGUAGAUAUCUGGAGGAACACCGGUGGCGAAGGCGGCAUCCUGGACCGGCAUUGACACUGAGGAGCGAAAGCCAGGGGAGCAAACGGG
rnacentral:rRNA from 1 species